UCUCACUCUGUCUCCCAGGCUGGAGUGCAGUGGUGUGAUCUAAGCUCACUGCAGCCUCCACCUCCUGGGUUCAAGAGAUUCUCCUGCCUCAGCCUCCCAAGUAGCUGGGAUUACAGGCAUGCACCACCAUGCCCAGCUGAUUUUUUGUAUUUUUAAUAGAGAUGAAGGUUUCACCAUGUUAGCCAGGCUGGUCUUGAACUCCUGGCCUCAAGUGAUCCACCCACCUCAGCCUCCCAAAGUGCUGGGAUUACAGGCAUGAACCACCACGCUCAGCCAGGCUAAUGGCCUUUCCUCCUGCUGUAGUAGAGAUUUCCUCCUCCCAAAUGGAAGAUGUGCUGACCCUAUGGAACAGAGCCAAGAUGAAAAGGGCCACCUUAUCCCCACCAGUGUACCCUCAGCCGGCUCUCAGUUCCCCCUCAGCUCACCCUCCACUAGCCCUGCACAGCUCUGCUCACUUAGCAGUUUCUAUGUGACAGCUCUUCACUUUGCCUGAGCAUCUAAGGCGGCUGCCAGACUAGGUAAUGCUUUUGUUUAUUGAGGAUGUGGUGUCAGGAUCACCCAGCUGCCAUUGACUUUAAUUAACACUCCUCCAGGCUGUGAAACUUCAUUACCUGAAGCUAGUGACAGCACAAAGUCGUGAGAAUCUUUGGAACCCAUCCAGUCUAGCCUAGAAAACACCAGAGGAGCCAUGAUGACCAUCCCUAAGGGGUUUUGGAAGUUGUUUCUUGAGAUAGUGACCCUGGUGGUGAAUGGUCCCACUUCUACUUCCUCCACCAACCCACAGUCCUGUGAUAAUGCAGCACAGUUGCAUAUACACCAUAGAAUUUAAACACAAUACAACUUGGUGGCCUGGAAACAGUUAAUUUGAUGUGUGAAUUGGUUUAAAGUUUUGUCUGAUCUGAUCAUUUGGUUGUGCUCAGUUCCUCUUGACCAUUACCACUUGGUCUCCCAGAUGCAUGUUCUCCUCUCAGCCCACUUCCCUCCCUAAGGUGGUAUAUGGAGCAGGGGUGAGGCUUAUGCACAUCUUUUGUGGUAGGGAAUAGCUGUGAUGCUUAAAGGGGUUCUGGUCUUUAAGCCAGAGGGGUGAGAUCUCUGGUCUGCCUGGGACCUUCUCACCCUGCUAGCAUUUGCAGUGUUAGCCUAUGGCUACAUAACUUGUGAACUGGUUUCUGUACCUGGCUAGAGCCCUGCCUGCUGGGACUAGAUCCCUUCUGAAGUCUAGCUGUGACUCUCACUGGUCUGACACGAGCAUCCAUUAUAGCCCUACAGAUCCACCUCUUCCCUGCUGCUAUGACCUCUGGGCAGCCACUUCUCUGCAGACUCCAUCAGUCACUGGGGUCUUGCAAAUACUCCCCUGGAAGUGAAGAAGGCUCAGCUGAGCUCACCUGACCAUCCUGUGUAGCCCAGGUGACUGUGAGGUGAUGGCAUCCCAGGCUGGUACAGGAAAGCCUAUGAGGAUGGGAGGAAUAUCACCCUUUUCCCACAGGCCCUCAGAAUAGAAAGGGGGGCUUUUCUUUUAGCUUCCUUUGGUCAUUCUGUUAGUUUCCUGUGGCUGAACAAAUACCACUCACUGGGUAUCCUGGACAACAGAAAUGUAUUGUCUCACAGUUCUGGAGGCUGGAAGUUCAAGAUGAAGGUGUCGGCAGGGUUGGUUCUUUCUAAGGGCUCUGAAGGAAAGAUCUGUUCCAGGCCUCUUUCCUUGGCUUGUAGAUCUUCACGUUCACAUGGCGUGCUACUAGAUGGCUGCCUGUGUCCAUAUCUCACCUUUUUGUAACAACAUCAGUCAUGUGGAUUAGGGACCACCCUCAUGACUUCAUUUUUACCUGAUUACCUCUUUAAGGCCCUGUCUCCAAAGGAGUUCACAUUCUGAGGUAUAGGAGGUUAGGACUUCAACCUAUGAAUCUUGGGUAGAUAGAAUGCAACCCAUGACGGUUAAAGUCCACUUCUCUCAUACAACUCAGGUUGUAGAGUUAUCCGCACCAUGUAGCUGUCAUGAGCCAAAUGGGUUACCUUCUCUUCAUUAGGGAGAUAACUCUGUAAUGAGAAUCAUCCAGGCUUGAUGGCUGAUAUGCCCAGACCAGGAGACAUAUUUAGAAAAUCCUUUAUUAAAGCUGUAGCCUAGUCACAAGACCAUUGCCUUUGUACUUAAUCCUACAAUAUAGGUCAAAAUCUGAAUAUUAAUUAAGUCUUUUACUUUGCGUUUUUUUCUGUGACAUUCUUAAUCUUUCCCCAGUCAACACCUCCUUCCCUCAACUGGUGUCUGCCCCCAGGCAAAUGGUUGCUCACAACCAGCUAUGAAAAAGUCAUGAAAUUAGAAAGGCAAAACACAGAGUAUCACCAACCUUUCAAAUAUCCCCAUUACAACCAAUUGAUGGGUAAAGUCAGUAACCUUUGGCGGGAAGAAACAAUCUUGUUGCUCCUCUAUUUGCCAAGCUGAUUUUUAGUCAAUUGCUUACUGACACCCAAGGAUCCUGUUUUUUAGUAGUAUUAGUCAUCGAGAGAAUCUGGUAUCCAGAUUGGAGAGAGAUCAAUCUGAAUUUAGGAAAAACACGUAUAAUUCAAGAAACGAAUAGAUUCAGGAAGCUAAGGAAGUAAGAGCAGCAUACGACUAAGAAAUAAAACUAAAAUUCUAAGCCCCACACAGACUGAACAGACUCCCUCUUGGCCUAAGGUACCCCAGAGAAACCUUGGAAGUGGAAUUCCCAGCUAUGGUGGGAUGGGAGAUUAGACCAGCUUUGUUACAUGCUCUUCCUCCCUAGUUGCCAUUAGGCUUUCCUCUCCAGGGGCUAAACAGAAACUAGCCCUUUCAAAAGACUCCACGAGAGACUUCAACCAUGACUGCUGCCCCUCUUUUCUGUAGUUUCAACGGGAGAACCAACCAGCAUUCCUUCCUGUUAAGAGACCACCAACCACAGAGUGGUUCUGGCCAGUCUAUGGAGGAUGUGCAACAAGAGUUGUCCUCUGCUCCACCUUUUGACAUCAGAAGGCUGAAAACCCCACCCUUGGAUCAUGUUAAUGCUGCCAUUUGUUCAACAUGGGUCCCAUGGAGAGGCGUGAAGCUCAAUUGUGCAUGUGUGUGUUUCUCCUUUCAUAAAUAUUCAUGACUGCUCCUAUAGCUUAUGGAAUGUAUGUAUUUGGCCACUCCAUCCAGCAUCAAUCCCUGUCUUAUUCUUCUGAUCCUUGAGGUGCCUGUUUUCAGCUUCUGGCCAGAGGCUAUACUUCCCAGGCCAUCAGAAUGGCCAUCCUAUACUUUAUAAGAAAUAAAGCUCUCCUUUCCAGAUUUAUGAACCUCUUCUUCAGUUGAUGUGAUAAAAUGUUGAAAGCAAAUAAUAGACUAAAGGUGAGUGGUUGGAAGUCUUUCUGCAUCAUUUUCUCCCCCACCUUCCCCUUGUUCCUCAAUUCUUUCUUUUUCUCUUCCUACUCGCUCUCUCUCUCUCUCUCUUUCAGAUCGAAUCAUGCUCUGUCACCCAGGCUGGACUGCAGUGGUGUAAUCUUGGCUCACUACAACCUCUGCCUCCUUGCUUCAAGCAAUACUUCUGCCUCAGCCUCCUGAGUAGCUGGAAUUACAGGAAAGAAAGGAGGAGUCGUGUUGGUUCAAUCAACAAAUAUUCUGUUCAUCUGGGCAAGGCUUUAUAGCAGGUGUUGCAAGGGCCCUGAAAGAUGAAGAGGCAGUCCUGGCCCCGGAAUGUGUCCUCACGGAGGCGAUCUCAAUUAGCUGGCAAAGAACAGAGGAUGUGUAAACCAAUUUACAUUUAGAAGUGUAUCCAGGCCGGGCACUGUGGCUCACGCCUGUAAUCCCAGCACUUAGGGAGGCCAAGGCGAGUGGAUCACUUGAGGCCGGGAGUUUGAGACCAGCUUGGCCAACAUGGCGAAUCCCUGUCUCUACUAAAAAUACAAAAAUUAACCAGGCAUGGUGGUGGGUGCCUGCAAUCCCAGCUACUCGGGAGGGCGAGGCAGGAGAAUUGCUUGAACCCGGGAUUCAGUGAGUCGAGGUCACACCAUCGCACUCCAGCCGGGGUGACAAGAGUGAAACUCCAUCUCAAAAGCAAACAAGUGUAUCCAUUUGCACUGGCUACCGUAAGAACAUGCCAGAAUUGGGGACUUAACAGAAACUUAUGUUCUGACACAGCUGGAGACUUGAAGGCCAAGGUUAAGUUGUCGGCAAGGUUGGUUUCCCUGCGGCCUCUCCCUGGUUUUCCGAUGCUGUCUCCUCCCUGUGUCCACAUAAUCUUCUCUCUGCGUGAAGCAGCAUCCUAAUCUCCCCUUCUCAUAAAAGCGCCAGUCAGAUUGAAUUGGAAUCUGCCCUAGAGCCUUGUUUUAACUUAAUUACCUCUUCGAAGACCCUAUCUGCAAAUACAGUUACAUUUGGAGGUCCUGGGGGUUAGGAUUUCAACAUAUGAAUUUGGGGGCACAUAUCCCAUAACAAGGAGAUAAUGAGAAAUAAUCCCCCUCUUUUAAAAUUCUUUGCAUGUGUAAAGAGGAUGCUGAAGGAGAGAAAAGUGUAAAGCCAAGGAUGUCUGAAGGAUUUAGGAUCUCAAGACCAGUUGGACAUGGGGGUAUUUUUGGCUGGGGACCCUCUUGGCACUCCUCACAUACCAACAUAUAGACAACCACCUGCUCUGCCCGCGAACACGGCUGGCACUGGGUAGACAGACCACAUUUUCAUCCUCUUUCUGGAUUCCAAAGAAAUAAAGCAGCCUCACCUUCCUGCCUCUAAUGAACAGCAGGAUUUUUUAACUGGUUCCUUAUAUGGCAGCUGUUCCAGCUCUGCCUAGAGAAUUUAAGCCGUCAGCCUGGCCAACUGUUGAAUACCACAGGGAGAGGCAUUAUUUGGCUCCCAGGAAAUAAGAACUCCAAAAUACCUACAACCGCAGGGCGUAGUCCUGAAAUGACUGCCACUUCUCCAAGCCAUGAAGCCAGACUCUGCUCCCACUGUGGCGAGUUGUAGAGAAGUAAAUGACUGCCUGUGUUUUUGUGGGGUAGAGAAAUGAGCUUUUUAGCUUUCUGUAAAAAGAGCGGGGUUCCUGCCUUGGGUAAUUCAAACUCGUUGCGAGAAUAUGGAACACGUCGUUGGCAGAAAACAGAGGCUUUCUCGUUGUUCUCAGUAUGAGAACCAUUUCCAGAAAGACAACUCUAAGAAAUGAUGUUUAGAUGAGCUCUGAAUGAGGAAGAACUAGAAUUAUCAAAAUCUGAGCAAGAAUGUCCAAGCAGGGGAAACAUCAAGAAAGAUGUGUUGGGAUCCAGUGGGCAGAGUCCAGGGCACUUUUGGUAAAGAGGUAGAAUUAUGAAGCCCUUUUUUGCUGCUCCCUAUGUUUUCUACCAUCUGCUUCCAUAUUCCAGCUAGUUAGAUUCCACCUGCUGCUUCAGCCAUGUCAUUUGUCUUCAGCUCCUGCCCUGGGCUCCUCUGUGACAUUGCCCUGAACCGAACAGCUGUUGUUUCAGGACAGGCUGCAUUUCUGACUGUCUUUCUGGCAUGGUUCAAUCGGUCACACAGACUCCAUGACCCUGUGCCCCAUGCCCUUGAAUGGAGAUGUGGGUUGCUGCUGGCACCAGGCCCCUGCCCAUCCCGUGGAUGACACGUCUGACCCACGUCCCCUCAUGCCCUCCUGCUGACAAGACUGUGCUCACCAGCUUUGAUAAAACCAAAGAGUGGGGAACAGCUUCUGGUCACCUGCUGGAGAGGCAGCAUCUACACAGGGUGGCCUCUGUCCCCUCCUUGGCUGUUGGCUUUUUACACGUCAGUGUCCUCAUUUCCCCCACAAGACCAAGGGCGCCUGACACUCCGUGUUACUCAGUGACUUCAUUUGUGAAGAGAAGGGAAACAGGGCCAGUGCUGUGUUUCUCUAACACCGAGAUCGACCUUUCAACACCAGAACAGCUGGUAGAAGGACACAGUUUUCCUCAUCCUCACAGCUCUGGAGAAGAGGAAGAAAACACUCCCAGUUAAAUAAAAAGCUUCAAAAGGCAUCGUAAAUUCCCAUAGCGGGAUAUUUAAAGAAUGAUUUUAACGAUCAGACUAAAUAAGGCGACCUGACUCCGUGCCUGGAAAACUCACCCGGCUCAGGAGAGCUUUGUCAUUAUUACCUCAUCUGAGAGCCACUUAACCCAGGCAGGCCCUGGACAUGCCUUGCUGCCUGAUCUCAUGCGGGACUGCUGGUGCAGCGCAGGCAGGUGGCAGGCUGGCCCUGCCUCCUCACAGGCCCUGCCUGGUCACCACUGUUCGGAUCCCAUUCUUGUUUCUGUGCUGCUCAGAGAGCAUAGAGGACACCUGCAUGAACAGCAGCCGAGGCAGGGUCAAGGCAGGGGGUGGGCGCAGGUGUGCUCCUCCUUUCUGUCCAUUCCUGCUGGGGGGCAUUUCUCUAGGGAGAGGGAGUUAGGGUUUCUCUGCAGCAAGAAACCCCCUUUCCCUUCCUCUCCAUGAUUUUGUGAGGAUUCCCGAUUCUGGCUCACGUGGUCCAAGUCCAUUCAGAGAUGCAGGUGUGAACCAAGCCCCUGCCACUGACUUACUGUGUUAGCGAAUAAAUCACUAAGACUCUUUGGACAAUUUGGGGACAUUUAGGGGCCUUCCAGUUUGCAGUAUUCUGUAAUUCUGACAGCUCUCUGGGUGUCCAUGGGUAAUGCACAAUUUUGCCUUUUAUUGGCAGGCGCUGAGGAUCAUAUUGAUUUGGUUUGGUCUGAGAAGCAAGGAGGCCCAGGCACGCAUCUUCUCCUAAUUAAUUUUUCAUGCUCCAUGGCAGCGAUUCCUCCUACAGCCAGGAGAGGCUGUGCAGCGGCUUCUCUGAUGCUUUUUUUUUUUUUUUUUUUAGCAUUGGUUGUCAGCAGAAAUGGCCCACCUCCUGGUCCUGCAGUCCCAGUGGGUGUCUGGGGAGGGGACACAGCUGUCCCUUCUGUCUUCUCAAAGACAGAUGGCAGGGAGGAAUUGGGGGACGGGACGGGGGGAGAGAGAAAGGAAGACAGAAAGGGAGAGGGCAGGAAAGAGGAAGAGAAGAGAGAGAGAGAGAGAGAGAGAGAGAAUGGCUUGAAUAAUUGAAUGAGAAUUGUCUUCCCCAAGUUCGGCAUGGUGGCUCAUGCCUGUAAUCCCAACACUUUGGGAGGCUGAGGCAGAUGGAUCACUCGAGGUCAGGAGUUUGAGAGCAGCUUGGCCAACGUGGUGAAAUCCCAUCUCUACUAAAAAUACAAAAAUUAGCUGGGCAUGGUGGCGCACGCCUGUAAUCCCAGCUACUCAGGCAGGAGAAUGGCUUGAACCUGGGAGGCGGAGGUUGCAGUGAGCCAAGACUGCGCCACUGUAUUCCAGCCUGGGCGACAGAGUGAGACUGUCUCAAAAAAAAAAAAAAAAAAAAAAGCAACAACAACAAAAAAGAGAAUUAUCUUCCCUGAAAAUGAAAAGGAUUGUUUCCCAGCAGGAAAGCACUGGAGCCCCGGCACCCCCGAUGGCUUCCUCUGGGUCAAUGACAGCAUAGCUGCAAUGUGAGCUCCUGUUGGUUUUCUUCACUGAAGUAGGGCUGCUUUUGCCGUGAGUUAAGACAUCAACCUAUUUUGAUCUUUCCAAAUAGUCACUGAAAAUAGUGGGGUGCAUCCCCACAUGCUCUCAGAGGGCUGUUUUUCUCUUACGGAGAAGUCCUGUGGGUCUUGUCCCACGGGGCCAUGGAGAUGUGGUUGGCACAGGGGACACCCCUUCAUGCUUAGAGCACAAUCGUACUGCUGUGGACUUGCUUUGUCUGAGCUCCACCAGGCUGUGAACGCUCUGGAGAGAGGAAGUCUGUUUUGUUUGUCUGGCUCCCAGGACCCCAUCCAAAAUCAGGAACCUAGGAGGUAUCCAUCAAACAGUUGUUCAGUGGAUGGGAAAUAAAGGAACAUAAAUAUGACCCUUGCUGGCUGGGCGCAGUGGCUCAUGCCUGUAAUCCCAGCACUUUGGGAGGCUGAGACGAGCGAAUCACGAGGUCAGGAGUUCAAGACAAGCCUGGCCAAAAUGGUGAAACCCCGUCUCUACUAAAAAUACAAAAAUUAGCCGGGCAUGGUGGCAUGUGCCUAUAAUCUCAACUACUCAGGAGGCUGAGGCAGGAGGAUCGCUUGAACUCAGGAGGCAUAGGUUGCAGUGAGCUGAGAUUAUGCCACCGCACUCCAGCCUGGAUGACAGAGCAAGACUCUGUUUCAAAAAAAGACUCUUGCUUGUAUCUUCCCUGGGCCUCCCAGGCUCUGGCACUUAGACAAAUGGUUCCAGUCUACAGAAGAUGAUUCUGUAGCACUGUGGUUUAGGAGCACAGGGCAGAGGUUCAGCCCAAUGAUCGCCCUUCAGUGCGUCAAAUGCCCUGUGCUUCACUGCCAGCCUUUUUGAGGUGGCUGAGAAAGUUUACAUUCAAUGUCAAAAUGCUCUCCUUGGGGAACAUCUAACAUGGUUCCCUUGAGAAAGUAAGUUAAUUUCUCAGGUUGCUGCUGGUCAGUGUCCCUCUCACUGCCUGCUAGGAAUCCUGCUUUCCAAGCCUGCACGCCUCUUACCAUGUUGUUCUCACCCACUGUUGAGUCACUUCUUGUAAGAAUAGAAAUAGUGGCCAGGUGUGGUGGCUCACGCCUGUAAUCCCAGCACUUUGGGAGGCCGAGGCAGGUAGAUCACCUGAGAUCAGGAGUUUGAGACCAGCCUGACCAACAUGGAGAAACCUUGCCUCUAAUAAUAAUAUAAAAAUUAGCCAGGUUUGGUGGCAGGUGCCUAUAAUCCCAGCCCCUUGAGAGGCUGAGGCAGGAGAAUCCCUUGAACCCAGGAGGAAGAGGUCACGGUGAGUCAAGAUUACACCACUGCACUCCAGCCUGGGCAACAAGAGUGAAACUGUGUCUUAAAAAAAAAAAGAAAGAAUAGAAAUGGUAGAUGGUGCUGGUGGCUCACACCUAUGAUCCCAUUGCUUUGAGAGUCCAAGGCAGGAGGAUUUCUUGAGGCCAGGAAUUCAAGACCAGCCUAGCUAGCCUGCGCAACUUAGCAAGACUCCAUCUCCUCCCUGCCCCCCCCACCUUUUUUUUAAGAGAUAGUCUUCCUACGUUGACCAGACUGGUCUUGAACUCCUGGCCUCAAGUGAUCCUCCCAUCUUGGUCUCCCAAUAUGCUAGGAUUACAGGUGUGAGCCACUGCACCCAGCCUAACAAAAUAUUUUUAACUCAGCUGGGCAUGGUGGCUCACUCCUGUAGUUCCAGCUACUUGGAGGCUAAGAUGGGACAAUUACUUGAGCCCAGGAGUUCCAGGAUGCCUUAAGCCAUAAUCAUGCCACUGUAAUCCAGCAUGGAUGGCAGAGCCAGACCCUGUCAAAAGAAGGAAGGAAAGAGAGAGAGAGAGAGAAAGAAAGGAAGAAAUAAAGAAGGGAAGGAAGGAAGGAAGAAAAAGCAGAAGGAAGGAAGGAAGAAGGGAAGGAAGGAAGGAAAGAAGGGGAAAAGAAAGAAAAAGAAAAGAAAAAACAGUAAGGGCGGUGGGGGAAGAAGGAUGAAGAGAGGGUGGUAAUGGGUACAGACAUAUAGUUAGAAGAAAUAAGUUCAGAGGUUUGAUAGCACACUAGGGUGAUGAUACUUAGCAUCAAUGUUAUGCAUAUUUUGAAGUAACUAGAAGAGAGGAAUUGAAAUGAAGCCAACACAAAAAUGAUAAACACUCAAGGUGAGGAAUAUCCCAAUUACCCUGACUUGAUCAUUACACGUUCGUUGCAUGGAGCAAACACUCACAUGUACCUCAUAUACUCACAUGUACUAAUUUACAUUAGUACAUUAGUAUACAUCAAUAAAAGGAAAACCAGAUAAUGAAAAAAUAGAAAUGGAAUAGAUUAAAGAAUAGAAAUUGAAAAGCAAGUAUAGUAAGUGGUGGGGGGAGGGUGAUAAAGUGAAGUGAGUUGCUUCAGAAUGCAGUGCUCACCUUUGUCACUGUCCAUUGGUUACCACGAAGGACUUGAAAUUGUCAUUUUUUUUCUGGAUAAAACAAAGGGAAGGUAGGUAUAUAUUCUGGUAUCUCCCCAUUUCUUUCUCUUAUGCCUGAGGUUUCUCGAUGAGUUUUGUUAAGUUCAUUUGCAACCCGUUUGGAAACAGAGCGUCAGCUUGUUCUCUCUCUCUCUUCUCUCCAUUCUUGCCUGGGCUGGGACUCUGUUUCCCGGGGUGAUGGCAGAUUGGCCAUUGAGCUGCAUCCUUGGUGGCUUUUCCUUCUUCAUCUCAUUGCCAAUGAGGACACCGAGGAGGAAAAGGAGAAAACCAACCACCAUCCACCGUCACUAAAUGAGCACGCCAGGUUGCCAUGCUGCACAGCUCCAGCCAUAUGGCCAAGAUGGAUGGAUCCCUGACGAGGCAUCCAGUGAGCCUGCAUGGCCUGGGCAGCCCUGAAGUCAAUAAUCCUGCAAAAAAGUCAUUCCUUCCCAGCAGAAGUCAGUGGGCUAUCUUCCACAGACAGCCACGAAAUUUCCCUCCUUUUCCUUCCAUGAAGGGCUGGUGAAAACGUCAUCAUGGAUCUGACCUGCAUCUGGAGACCAUCCUUCAGAGGCGCCACAGAGCUCCUUUCUGCCCGGGCAUUUACGGUGCGUGAGAACUUGGAGAGGCGAGCUCUCAAGGGAGUUGGGGUUUUGACUUUGCCAUGACUACUCAGGCCAGGAUGAAGGCUGAUACUUAACAUGUGCAUCCUUUGAUUGACCCUUCAAUCCUCACAAUAACCCCAUGUCACCAGGAGGAAACUGAGGCAAACUCCACACAACUGGCAAAUCAGGUGUGACUCUCAUUCCAUCACAGCACUUUGCUGGGCACACACCGGAAACCAGAUGCUCAGUUCCGUAUGCAUACGGGAACAGGCUGAGGCUUCAGACCUUUGGCUCAGCACUUGCGGGGUCUCCCACGAGGUCUCCCACCCACAGUGGAAGCAUUGGAGGAGCCACAGAGACAGAAGUGAGGGGUGGCAGGUGAGGGCAGCGUGAUGUUUCUUCCUCUCUCAGCCAGGUUCGGUCCCUUCUUGCUCCAAGGGACAGGCUGUGCUCCUGUGGGAAGCCUCUGACCUCACUGCAGUGAGAACGGCAAAGAGAGGAGGCGACCCAGCUGGCCUUCUGCCUACUACGGCUGCGCAGCAGGAUGAGCUACACUUACUGGCCAAACCCGACGGCGGGCCUUCGUUGCUGCUUUUCUAUCCCUUAGUAGUUUAUAAAUGUUCCUUUCUCUUUUGCAGCUUUGAACUACACACCAUUCUUUAAAGAAUGUCAAAGUAAAAGUGGAUACAAAAGAAUAUCUCUCACCAUCAUGCCAUAUCAGUUUUUACGUGUAAUUUUGUGGCUAUGCUUUCCAACCAGAGAUUAGUGUUAUAAUAUUCCGGAGUGAAAAGCGUAAAAGAGUUAUUGCCACUGAGAUGUAAAUAUGGAUAAACACCCUUUUAGAAUCCAGUGAUUUCGUCAGGCUUUCAGGAAUACUUGCUUGUCAUUUUAUAUUUGCAAUGAAACUGAAAAAUAGACCUGAAAUUAUACAAAAAUGCAUCGAGGAGUGCCCUGUGUCUAUGUUCUCCUAGUUUUUGAAGGCAAAUUCUCUAUGAAUAGGACUUAGAGGGAUUCUAAUUGAUCUUACAAUUGAGUUUCCAGUAACUGGACAUAACUUUUAGUCUUCUUUAGUUCAAAUCAUCAUUUCGUGUCUUCUUCGUUACAAUUACUGGUGCUGGAAAAUAAAAUGCAAUCCACUGUGAUUCGUGUGUAGAAUGCUGGUUAGUUCAGCUCCAAAGAGCAAAUAAGAUGUUCUAUGCACAGCUGUCUCCUGGGCCUGCUCAUAAUAGGUAUUCAGUAAAUAUUUGUUGAAUGAUUAAAUAAGUGAAUGAGCGAAUGGAUACAAGGGUGCUGCUAUGUAGCAUAUGUAACUUGAUUAAUUAUCGUGUGUGUUUUUUACUGUCUCUCUCCCCUCAAUAGGAUGACGGCCUCUUGAGGGCAGAGGUUUUCGUAUGAUUUGUUCACAGGUGUAUCCCAGGCACAUAGUGUGAUGACUGGCAUGUGAGAUACUCGGCAAAUAUUUCUUGAACCAUUAAUGAGUCUGAGGCUGUAGCCACAGAUUGCACUUUCUAUCUCAGCCAGAUGGUUCUUAAAUGUAUAUCUUCAGUCAUAAAGGGAAUUGGGAGAAAUAUUUUAGAUGUGUUAAAGAAUGAGAGCAGAUUGCUCGCCGCUCCUGGUCUCUUUACACAAAUGAGUCUGCCCACAAGAGCCCUCACUGGAAAUGUGUGACAGGCGACUGUAGACCGCAGCGUUUCUCUCUCAGGAAUUCCUUCAGGCCACCUUUAGUUUGUGUGCUGUGCAGAUUCUCACCUUUUGUUUUUCACUUUUUGGUUCCUCACCACACUCAUUUCUCAUGAAAGCAGGGACUCAAACAGAUGCGUAUGCCCACGUUCGUUGUGUGCUGUUCACAGCAGCCAAAAGGUAGAGGCAACCCACAGUGAAUGAAUGGGUAAACACAGGGUGGUACAUGAAUACAGUGGAGAAUUACUCAGACUUUAAACAGGAAGGAAAUUCUGACACCUGCUGCAACAUGGUUGGAUCUUGAAGACAUUAUGCUGAGUGAAUAGGCCAGUCACAAAAGGGCAAAUACAGGCUGGAUAUGGCUCACACCUGUAAUCUCAGCAUUUUGGGAGGCUGAGGUGGGCGAUUCAAGGUCAAGAGUUCCAGACCAGCCUGGCCAACAUGGUGAAACCCCAUCUCUCCUAAAAAUACAAAAAUUAGCUGGAGGUGGUGGCACAUGCCUAUAAUCCCAUCUACUCGGAGGGCUGAGGCAGGAGAAUCACUUGAACUGGGGAGGCGGAGGAUGUAGUGAACUGAGAUCCCAACACUGUACUGCAGCCUGGGUGACAGAGCAAGAAAGACUCCAUCUCAAAAAAAAAAAAUACUGUGGUUAAAAUGGUAACAUUUAUGUCAUGUAUAAUUUUAUCACAGUAAUAAAUAGUCUUUAAAAAGACCCGUCCAUAACCACCCAUUUGGGCUCUAUGGCUCCACCCAUGCCUUUGGCUUUGACUUGAGGUCCUAUUUCUGAAUAAAUUUUCAGGUAUGAAUCUUGGCGAGACUCGAGGACAGAGCUGUGUCCCUGACUCAGGUUCGAUUGGCACCUUCUCUCGGUCACCAUCUCAAACCUAAAGCAAAGAACCCACUCUUAGAUGUCGUCUUGGUUUCAGUCAGGGGCCAGCACAGGAGCGUUCUUUACUACGGUUUUCAGUUAAGCGUUCCGCUUUUUGCGGGUCCCUCAGAGAAGGUGAAAGGAUUAAUAGAAGAUGAAAGGGCUGGAAGCUAUAGAUUGUGAUUAUUGUACUAUUAAGAUGGUGUUGCUGCUAGGAAGGAAAUGACUCAAUACGAGACAUAUGUAUACACACACAUACGCUUUGAGUCUAUAUAGAAAUGAGUCGGUGCUUUCGGAAGUUGCUGACAUAUUAUCCUAGAGCACGUGUGUUAUGAAGGCAGGGAUGUUUUCAUUUUGUUCAUUGUUUUAUUCCCACUGUGCCUGUUAUGGAGUAGGUGCCCAAUCAACAUUUGUUAAGUGGAUGAAUGAUGUACAUUUUAAACACACACACACACACACACACACACACACACACACACACACACACACACAGAUUGAGAGACAGAGUCAUUGCUGCUUCUGGCUUAGUGCCAAAAAGAGUUACCUGCAGAGAAACUCAAAUCUAUUAGAGCGUUCAGCUUGUGACAGGCUUUCUUUCCUCCCACACCAUAAUUGUGUACUGUUGUAAAUGAUGUCUCUUCCCAUGCUUUGGAAUGUCGCCUUCUUGCCCAGGCUGGAGUGCAGUGACGCCAUCUCCGCUCACUGCAACCUCCACCUCCCAGGUUCAAGCGAUUCUCCUGCCUCAACUGGGAUUACAGGCACCUGCCACUGCCACCAGCUAGUUUUUGUAUUUUUAGUAGAGAAGGAGUUUCGUCAUGUUGGUUGGGCUAGUCUCGAACUCCUGACCUUAGGUGAUCCCACCCAUCUCGGCCUCCCAAAGUGCUGGGAUUACAGCCGUGAGCCACCACGCCCGGCCAAUUCUCCCUUUCUAUACUGUUUUGCAUAUUUUCAUUUUAUGAUCAGGUUGGAAGAUGAAUUUUAAGGGAGUUAUUACCUAUGUUUAGAGUACAUAAAGAAGAAAAACACUGAAAUUUUCUUUGUACAGUUUUAAUGCUCUCAUGGCAAUUAAACAAUUAUUUAAGCAGGAUGUAAAAAGUCAUGCAGAGCGUGGAUGUAUUUGAGACACAGGUCACAUGAUAAUUAUUGGUGUUAGUAAUACAGUUAGUACAUGAACCCAAUAUUUGUUCAUCAUUACGUAAUUCAUUUUGUUAGUUGACUUUGGGUGAUUCCUCUAAGGAAUAUAAGUGACCACACUUUUUUUUUUUUUUUUUUUUUGAGAUGGUGUGUUGCUCUGUUGCCCAGGUUGGAGUCCAAUGGCACAAUCUUGGCUCACCGCAACCUCCACCUCCCGGGUUCAAGCAAUUCGCCUGCAUCAACCUCCUGAGUAGAUGGGACUACAGGUGUGUAUCACCAUACCUCUCUAAUUUUUUGUAUUUUUGGUAGAGACAGGGUUUCUCCAUGUUGAUCAGACUGGUCUCGAACCCCUGACCUCAGGUGAUCCACCUACCUCAGCCUCCCAAAGUUCUGGGAUUACAGGCAUGAGCCACUGUGCCCGGCCUACAUAUUAUUAAUUCUCAUAACAUUCUUGGGAGCUAAAUAUUGUCGUUCAGCAGUAACAGCAUCUCAGAUGUUAACUGAUUGGCCAUACAAUAAAGGGGCUUUAUUUAUAAACAUUCAGGAACAGUGAAAAAUUAAUGGUACAUAUAUUUUCUAUUUAGAAUUGCUCUCAAAAAUUCAUGCCUGGUCCAUUUUAUCAAGCAAAUGUGCAGCAUGUUUCCCCUAUAAUUCUAGCUUUUCUUUCUAUACAAGAUUGAGCUGCAGUAUUGUGCCUCUCAGGCAGUGAGUCUCAGGGCAACUUUGUGGUGGGGACACCCAUACUGUGUUUUCCACUCCAUGGGGACCUCGGACUUCCUGAAUGCCCAGAAAAGAGAGAAAAGAGAGGCCGGGCACAGUGGCUCAUGCCUGUAAUCCCAGCCCUUUGGGAGGCCAAGGCAGGUGGAUCACAAGGUCAGGAGAUCAGGACCAUCCUGGCCAACAUGGUGAAACUCCAUCUCUACUAAAACUACAAAGAAUUAGACGGGCGUGGUGGUGCACGCCUGUAGUCCCAGCUUCUCAGGAGGCUGAGGCAGGAGAAUUGCUUGAACCCAGUGAGCUCAGACUGUGCCACUGCACUGCAGCCUGGUGACAGAGCAAGACUCUGUCUCAACAAAAAGAAAAAGAAAAGAGAGAUAUUGAAAGGAAAGGUUAAGUUCUUGAAUUCCUAUUUAAAUUCUGUGAUGCCAAAGGGGUUAGAUCGUUGCCAAAAGCUUACGCAACUGAGCUGAAAAUAAAGCUUAAUUGGAAAUGAUAUAGCGAGAGAACAAGAGUUGGGUCAGCAGGUAGGAGUUGGUGGUAUGCACUCCCUCUCUUUCGUUUCCCUGAGGCCUCUUGGAGGAUCUCUUUCCCUCUCCUGACUCCACGUGUCCAUCACCUGCCUCUGUUCACGCUUCAUGGCAGCAUCAGCAAAGGCAAGUCAGCCAGGGAGGGCCGCUGAGAACUGAGGUUCCAAAACAGGGGGAGCAGAAGGGGAGGGCUUGGUUUUUAAACUACUUCAGUUCUUCCUCCUCCUCUCUCCCUCUCUCUGCUGCCUUUCCCGGCUCAUUUCAUUUUCCUGUGCUGCCAUUCUUUCUAAGUGCAACCACAAAGACACUUUAAUAUAGCAUUAAAAAUCCAGUUACCGAAAAUCAAUUUGCCUAUGCAAACUAUGGAUGCAGGAUAAACAGGAUGCUCAUUCUCUAACCAUCUGAGGACUCUCAGCAGGAAAGGCAGAAAUGCUGUGGGGAGACAUUGACGUCCUACAUCCAUCCUGUGAUCUUCCUUGUCCUGUUCAUAAGUGGCGGAAUGAGAGCAACUUGACCUUGACAAUCAGGGCUGGAGAGGCCAUUGUUGGGCUUAGGAACCCACAGGUAGAGAUAAUACUGCAGAUAGAAAGUGCUUCAAACACAGUAACUGCGUCCACGGCCCAGAGAACAGGUAUAACACACAAGGAGCAGGGCUGUGGCUAAUGUGUUGGCAUCUGGGGCUAAUAUUUCUUAAAAUGAUGUAAUCUAGAGGUAGAAAAACAACUAUCUUGUCCAAAAUGAAUGAUGAAGAGCUGAAGUCACUAUCGAAAGGACAGCAGCCUACUAACCAACAGACAAAGUAAAACAUUUUCUAAUCCUGUGUUAGAUAUACAUUUUAAGUGAUUUAAAAACAAAUCUCACAUAACCUCACAACAAUCCUCUAAUGUAGGCAGGAAACUAUUACCACCCUCGUGUGACAAGGAGAUCAGCUAAGUGCCUUGCCAAAGUCACCUGGCAUUCACGUCUAUCUGUGCUGCUGCAGUCUCUCUCACCCUGGGAACCUGCUUAUUUCUGAAUCAUUCGAAUUGCGGGUCACCCGUGCCUGGGCGGGGUACCUCCCGCUUCUUUCAAGCCUGCAGAUUCCUCCUCUCCUUUCCCACCAUGUUCUCACUAGCCCAGGUCCCUGUGGCCUCACUUUUGGUUACCUGUCAAGAGCCCCCUAGCUAAGGUCUAUCUCUUCUUACAGGCUCCUCCAUUCCCAAGGCUGUGGGACACAAUUUUAAUUCUUCCUGAUGUCACUGUCAUCCCCAGAUGUCCCUGCAGUGCCCAGCACACAGUAGGUGUUGAAUCAACCUUUGGUAAUGGAUAUCUUUCCACUCUAAGACUCCACUGCCCUGUCUGCCCCUCCAAGUUCAUCAUCUAGCCCUGUUUUCUCUCAUUUCACUGAGCCAAGACGCAGGCAGCCUUCCACCUUCACACCCAAACUUGCUCUUCAUCUGGAAGGUAGUAUGCUCUUGAAACUACCUUUGCAAAUUUAUAACAAUAGGAGAAAUAUGACAUAGUUGACUCCAUCUUUCUAUUUGUUUAUUUAUUUUUUGAGAUGGAGUCUCUUUGGUCCAGGUUGUCCAGGUUGGAGUGUAGUGGCACGAUCUGGGCUCACUGCAACCGCUGUGCGGGUUCAAGCAAUUCUCCUGCCUCAGGCUCCCAAGUAGUUGGGAUUAUAGGUGCCUGCUACUGUGCCUGGCUAAUUUUUGUUUUUUUUGGUAGAGAUGGGGUUUCGCCAUCUUGGCCAGGCUGGUCUUGAACUUCUGACCUCGUGAUCCAUCCUUUUUGGUUUCCCAAAGUGCUGGGAUUAGAGGCAUGAGCCACCGCACCCGGCCCUCCAUCUUUCUUUUAACCUCCAAGCUGUCCUUUGUCAUCCCUGGGUAUAGGCCAAGAUAACUUUGGUAGAAAUUCAGUUUAUAGUUUAACCGUAAAGCAAGGAUGAUAAUAGCCCUUCCCCAAAACUAACCUGACUUUGUAAAACCAAUGAAAGGCUUCAAGGUUAGGAAGAUGAGAGGGCCUGAAUUCUGAGAUGUAGGCAUAAAUGAUAACCAGCCAUUGUGUUGAAGGUCACAUGACUUACAACUUUACCAAUUACUCCUGUAGAUAGCAUUUUUACUAUUGUAGAAACUAAAGUUUGUCUUUUGAGGUGUUUUUUGACUCCUGUAUUCCUGAUAACUGGUUAACUCCUCCUAGACCUGCCCAUUUUCCACAACCCUAUGAUUUCACCCCUAACCAAUCAACAGUCCCCAUUUCAUAGCCCCCUGCCCACCAAACUAUCCUGGAAAAGUUAUAAGCUCCAAGCCUUUGGGGAGACUGAUUUGAAUGACAGAUAACUGCAGCUGGUCCAGUGUGAGCUGGGUUCAUGUCAAUUCAACUCUUUUUUUUUUUUUUGAAAUGGAGUCUCUCUUUGUUGCCAGGCCGGAGUGCAGUUGUGUGAUCUUGGUUCACUAAAACCUCUGCCUCCAGGAUUCAAGUGAUUCUCCUGCCUCAGCCCCCUGAAUAGCUGGGAUUACAGGCACAUGUCACCACACCCAGCUAAUUUUUGUAUCUUUAGUAGAGACAGGUUUCACCAUGUUGCCCAGGAUGGUCUCGAUCUCUUGACCUAGUGAUCCACCUGCCUUGGCUUCCCAAAGUGCUGGGAUUAUAGGUGUGAGCCACUGCACCCAGCCAAUUCAACUCUUCCUUUACCACAAUACCAUGGUCUCAGUGGAUCAAUUUUGUCCAUGAAGUGGCAGAAGAAUCUGUUGGGUGAUUAUGCUCUCCUCCUUCCUGUGAACAAAAAGUAAAAUUCUAAGGCCCCCAACCAACGGAAUGAACCCCUCUCUAGGCCAAGGGGACCCAAAAAAACCUGAAAAACUAGGUCAGGCCGUACGGGAAGUGGGGGUUGGACAUACCUUAUUAUACUUUCCUCCCUUUAGUGUUCAGGUGUAACUGAGCAAACUUAACACUAAAAUGGAGAUCUUUUUUCUUUUAAUACUUUAAGUUCUGGGGUACAUGUGCAGAUCGUGCAGGAUUGUUACAUAGGUAUACAUAUGCCAUCGUGGUCAUCUAUCCAUCCCCCUGUCAUCUACAUUAGGUAUUUCUCCUAAUGUUAUUCCUCCCCAAUCUCCCCACCCUCUGCUAUCCCUACUCUAGCCUCCCCACCCCCAACAGGCCCCGGUGUGUGAUGUUCCCCUCCUUGUGUCCGUGUGUUCUCAUUCAGCACUCACUUAUGAGUGAGAACAUGUGGUGUUAUUUUUUCUGUUCUUGUGUUAGUUUGCUGAGAAUGAUAGUUUCCAGCUUCAUCCAUGUCGCUGCAGAGGACAUGAAUGAAUCCUUUUUUUUAUAGCUGCAUAGUAUUCCAUGGUGUAUAUGUGCUGCAUUUUCUUUAUCCACUCUAUAAUUGAUGGGCAUUUGGGUUGGUUCCAAGUCUUUGCUGUUGUAAACAGUGCCGCAAUGAACAUAUGUGUGCAUGCGUCUUUAAAAUAGAAUGAUUUAUAAUCCUUGGGUAUAUACCCAGUAAUGGGAUUGCUGGGUCACAUGGUAUUUCUAUUUCUAGAUGUGUGAGGAAUCGCCGCACUGUCUUCCACAGUGAUUGAACUGGUUUACACUCCCAACAACCACGCAAAAGUGUUCCUAUUUCUCCACAUCCUCUUUAGCAUCUGUUGUCUCCAGAUUUCUUAAUGAUUGCCAUUCUAACUGGUGAGAUGAUAUGUCCAUGUGGUUUUGAUUUGCAUUUCUCUAAUGACCAGUGAUGAUGAGCGCUUUUUCAUGUGUUUGUUGGCCACAUAAAUGUCUUCUUUUGAAAAGUGUCUUUUCAUAUCUUUUGCCCACUUUUUGAUGGGGUUGUUUAUUUCUUGUAAAUUUAAAACAGAUCUUAACACUGACAACACAGGUGCUUUGUAGCAAUAAGAUACCAAAUUUCAACCUGACUCUAGUGUGAUAUCACAUGACAGAUAAAAAAGGAAAUUGAAAUAUUUUACCCCAAAAUAUGUUUCCUUGACAAAGA